AUUGAACGCUGGCGGCAGGCCUAACACAUGCAAGUCGAACGAGUGGCGGACGGGUGAGCAAUGUCUGGGAAACUGCCUGAUGGAGGGGGCCAACUACUGGAAACGGUUGCUAAUACCGCAUACCAUCAGAUCUGCUCAGAUGGAAUUAGCUUGUUGGUGGGGUAACGGCUCACCAAGGCGACGAUCCCUAGCUGGUCUGAGAGGAUGACCAGCCACACUGGGACUGAGACACGUGCCAGACCGCUACGGGAGGCAGCAGUAGGGAAUAUUGGGCAAUGGGCGCAAGCCGGAUGGAGCCAUGCCGCGUGUGUGAAGAAGGCCUUCGGGUUGUAAAAUACUUUCAGCGGGGACGCGUUACCCGCAGAAGAAGCACCGGCUAACUCCGUGCCAGCAGCCGCGGUAAUAC
rnacentral:rRNA from 1 species